AGCUCAUCUCAGGGCACAGCUCAUUGAUUUUUUCCCUUUGCACACACCUGUGGAGCCACCGCACCCAGGUCAAGACACAGAACAUUUCCACACCCAAGAAGGCCCUCCCAAGGCUCCUCCCAGACACACCCGGCCCCGGGGUGUCCACAGCCGCCCUGUUUCACUGCAGAGGCCUCUCUGGAAUGUGUUUCUGUGUGUCUGGCUUCUCUUGUUUACCAUAAAACCUAUAGACUUUCACCCACGCUAUCACAUAAGGCAGCCGCCUCUUGUGUUCAUGGCAUGGAGCUUGCCACACCCAAAAGCCCCACUUCCAUUCAAUGGGAACAGGAACCUCUUUCAACACAUCGUGCUGGCAUGACUGGGUAUCCUAUGGAAAGCCACAGACCUGACUUCCUACCCAACUCCGUGCACAGAAAGGAUUCGAGAUGAAAGAUGGAUUCGAGCAGGGGACAUCGGGCGCACUCUUCACAGCCUUGGUGGGGGUCUACCACGUGACUAACCACAUGCCAGAAGAGAAGAGGUCAAGAGAAUCCCACCUGCAUGACGGGGGACAUUCUAGGGUGGAGAGGGGUCCUAGGGAAACACCUGCCAUUCUAGGGUGGAGAGGCACUAGGGGCAAGGUCUCGAAUUGAACGUUUCCCAUUGCUAGGUGUCGGGAUGUUCUGCUCUGGUGACCUUCUGUACCUGGUUCAUCGUCCUUGCUCUGCUCAUGUCUGUCUGACUACCUACAACACUGUCACAUGGUUACCAUUUCUUUUUUUGUGGUGAGAACACUUAAGAUCUAUUCUUAGCAAAAUUCAAGUAUAUGAUACAGUACUAAUGAAUUGUUACCUGUAUCUAUAUUUACAUAGCUAUAUUGCUGUACAUUAGAUCCCCAGAACUUAUUAAUCUUUUAGCUGGAAGUUUGUAUCCUUCAACCAAUAUCUCCCCAUUUUCCCCACCCCACCCCUCAUAACCAACACUCUAACUCUGUUUCUCUGAGUUUGACUUGUUAGAUUCCACAUAUAAAUGAUAUCAUACAGUA